rnacentral:rRNA from 1 species
GUCUACGGCCAUACCACCCUGAACGCGCCCGAUCUCGUCUGAUCUCGGAAGCUAAGCAGGGUCGGGCCUGGUUAGUACUUGGAUGGGAGAAUAUAAUGAAUACAUCUUAUUGCAUAAG